UCAGAUGCUGAGAGGAAGCUGAUUCAAAACAUCUAGAUCUAGGUCAACUCAUAGGAGAACGAGCUACGAGUAAAUGAUGGCUUUCUCUAGAUAGAUUGAAAUACAUUCUUCUUAUCAAUAAUAAUUGUAACGUUAGAAGACAAAUGAUAUGCAUCAGAAGAAUCAUAGGUAUCACAUUUCAAGACCGCAUCACAAACCAAGAGAUUAGAUUUUAGAUCAUUAGACAUGGUUACUUCAGCGAUUGGACCCCACGAUGACCUUCUAACUAUCGUAAAGAAGCGCAACCUAAAAAUAUAUGGCCAUAUUGCAAGGUCUUCGGGGCUCGCAAAGACCUUUUUUUUAGGUAACAGUACCAGGAAAAAGAAGAAGAGGCAGACACAGAAAGCGCUGGGAAGACAACAUAAAAGAAUGGACGGCCAAGUAUAGAGGUUGUCAUUGUAAUAAAAAAAAAAGACCGAAAAGUGGGAAGGUAUGUGGGUAGGGAUGCUUCCGGUCAGAAGAAAAGUCAGAGACUGUACGUAGGACUAACUUAUUUUAUGGACGGGAGGCGGAAAGUAAAAGUGAUACUAGAAUUCACGGGCCAAAAGUAUGUAGUCGAGGGCUUUAUAAGGCGGACCAUUCCAGUUCAGAUUCAGAACUGGACAUGUCUUCAUCUCUGCUGCCUGGGUCCAAAUCACGUGCAGAAUGAUCAGAUUUUGUUUUCUUCUGUUUCCUGCAAGAACCAAAGAGAAAUCUAUUUCAAUGUUUGACAGUGUCAUAAAAGUGGGAACUGUGUCUGCAGUGGGGUAGAUAGGUGGAAUUCACCAUUUGUCUCUUGACUUUUUCAUUUUCAGUAAAGAAUUUGAAAUUUUAGAUCAUUAAGUUCCAUCUGUAUAUUAUUAGACAUUUUCAGAAUGUUUCAUUUAGUUUAGGAAGUGAAAAUGACUUUAUAAAUGCAAGCAUACAGUCUUAAUUUUCAGCAAAAUCAUUAAAAAAAAAAAAAAAAAAAAAUCAAAUGCUUCUGAUUUUUUCAAUGUACUCUGUACAAUUAGAUUGAUCUUCAAGACAUUUACUUUGAAUAAAUUGACUAAAAUCCCUAGCAACUUCAGGACUAUUGCCAGCUGUGAUUUUACAUUUCUUUGCUAAACUUUCUUAUGUGUAGAUGUACUGAAAAAUCAAGGAUACACAACCACACCUUCAAACCAAAGACUGAGUGGUAAAAGGGGUCCCUGGUUUGAAUACUAGUGAAGACUGGGAUUUUUAAUUUUGGGAUGUUUAGGGCGCCUCUGAGUCCACCCAGCACUAAUGGGUACCUGACAUUAGUUGGGGAAAAGUAAAGACGGUUGAUCAUUGUGCUGGCCACAUGACACCCUCAUUAACUAUAGGCUACAGGAACAGAUGACCAUUACAUCAUCUGACCCAUAGAUUGAAAAUGAUAUUUUCCUUUUUUUUUUUAUUAAAAGGUCAGUAGUUUUAUGGGGUAUAUAUAUAUAAUAAAUCUUGCCUAAUAAUGAUAAUUCAGUCUAUAAAUAAGUUAGAAUAAAUCCAGAUAAAACGGCCUGGCCUAUUAGUAUUAUAAGCAUGUGCAUCGAUUAGAGCAUAGUAGAAGCUUAUGAAUUAAAUCACUGUUGUACUUUUUUCUAGAAAUCAGUUAUUUAUAUUUUUUUAUACAGGUUCGCUUUUUCUUGAAUUUUUUCUUCAGUGUGUCACUAAUAAUCAUGCCUUGUGCCAAUGUUGGAGCAUGUUUCAUAUGUUGACCAUUACAUGGAGUGGGCUUUACUAUAAAGAAACUCUUCAUCACAAGAGUUAGUCCCUCCUGUUAGUGGCACAGAACAUUUUUAAGUACUGGCAAGAUGGUAGUAGGAAAGUUUCCUUACUCAGUGUCUAUUGCUCCCACCAUAUAUUCAAGAGAACAAUGAGAAGUUCUAUGAGGACCAAAAAAGAAAUAAUUAGGAACAAACCUCACCUCCCCCCCCCCCCC